GACAGAGGGUGCGAACGUUGCUCGGAAUGACUGGGCGUAAAGCGCGUGUAGGCGGUCUCGCCAGUCCGGUGUGAAAGCCCAGGGCUCAACCCUGGAACUGCGCUGGAUACUACGAGGCUUGAGUGCUGGAGAGGAGAGCGGAAUUCUCGGUGUAGAGGUGAAAUUCGUAGAUAUCGGGAGGAACACCAGUGGCGAAGGCGGCUCUCUGGACAGUAACUGACGCUGAGACGCGAAAGCGUGGGUAGCAAACAGGAUUAGAUACCGAGUAGUCC
rnacentral:rRNA from 1 species